UCUUGAGCUUUUGAGUGGAAAGAAAGCAAUAAUGGAGUUUAAGGAUGGGCAGCCGACGCUUGUGACUGAUUGGGCCUGGUCAUUGGUUAGGGAAGGCAGAGCAUUAGAUGUUCUUGAAGACAGCAUUCCGCAUUUGGGGCCUCCAGAAGUUAUGGAGAAGUAUGUAUUGGUAGCUGUUCUUUGUUCUCAUCCAGAAUUGUACGCGAGGCCAACAAUGGAUCAGGUUGUGAACAUGUUGGACGCUGAGAUACCUGUUCCAACCAUACCGGAGAGACCAAUUUCUCUCAUUGCUGAUCUUGAUGACAUUGAAAGGUCUGUUAGCAGUGGUGGUAACUCAG
rnacentral:misc_RNA from 1 species